CUCCCACGGACCGGCCUUUCUCCUACGUCCUCCCAGUCUGCGCCUGCUAAAAGGUAUCCACCCGACGGCGGCAACGCUCACGAUCUGGCCUCUGCCCAGGGUCCCGAGAGGCUCUUAAGUCCCAGCCACCUCUCCAAGCUAGAGAAGGCUGCAGCACUGUUAAGCAGAAACAGCCACCAAGAUACACGCAGGAACCCCGAGUUCUUUACUUUCUCAGCCUGUCUAGAUGUCAGUUUGCCGCUCUGCGAAAUGGGGAUGAGCCAAAAGGAGAAGGAGUCCGCACGAGCGCACUCACCACUACGGCGGUGACAGGCUGGCCCGGGAUGUAGGACAUUUCGAUCGAAAUCUGACAAGGAGACAGCGCCCGGUGAGACCCCCAGCGAGAAUGCCCGCGGCCGCGCCCU
rnacentral:lncRNA from 1 species